rnacentral:rRNA from 1 species
AGCGAACGCUGGCGGCAGGCCUAACACAUGCAAGUCGAACGAAGUCUUCGGACUUAGUGGCGGACGGGUGAGUAACACGUGGGAACGUGCCUUUAGGUUCGGAAUAACUCAGGGAAACUUGUGCUAAUACCGAAUGUGCCCUUCGGGGGAAAGAUUUAUCGCCUUUAGAGCGGCCCGCGUCUGAUUAGCUAGUUGUUGAGGUAAAGGCUCACCAAGGCUACGAUCAGUAGCUGGUCUGAGAGGAUGAACAGCCACAUUGGGACUGAGACACGGCCCAAACUCCUACGGGAGGCAGCAGUGGGGAAUCUUGCGCAAUGGGCGAAAGCCUGACGCCGCCAUGCCGCGUGAAUGAUGAAGGUCUUAGGAUUGUAAAAUUCUUUCACCGGGGACGAUAAUGACGGUACCCGGAGAAGAAGCCCCGGCUAACUUCGUGCCAGCCGCCGCAGUAAGAC